rnacentral:rRNA from 1 species
AGUGAACGCUGGCGGUAGGCCUAACACAUGCAAGUCGAACGGCAGCACAGUAAGAGCUUGCUCUUACGGGUGGCGAGUGGCGGACGGGUGAGGAAUACAUCGGAUGCUACUUUUUCGUGGGGGAUAACGUAGGGAAACUUACGCUAAUACCGCAUACGACCUACGGGUGAAAGCAGGGGAUCUUCGGACCUUGCGCGAUUGAAUGAGCCGAUGUCGGAUUAGCUAGUUGGCGGGGUAAAGGCCCACCAAGGCGACGAUCCGUAGCUGGUCUGAGAGGAUGAUCAGCCACACUGGAACUGAGACACGGUCCAGACUCCUACGGGAGGCAGCAGUGGGGAAUAUUGGACAAUGGGCGCAAGCCUGAUCCAGCCAUACCGCGUGGGUGAAGAAGGCCUUCGGGUUGUAAAGCCCUUUUGUUGGGAAAGAAAAUCAGCAGGUUAAUACCCCGCUGUUCUGACGGUACCCAAAGAAUAAGCACCGGCUAACUUCGUG